GAUCCCUCCUUUGGAGUUCUACAGCAAGCCCAGGAUAUAGUGCCCAGGAAAAAGGAGGAGUUUUACAGCUUGGGAAGAAUCUUUCACCGAAAACAUGACUUUGCCUAUUCAGGUGGUUUCCAGUGCGAGACUUAAAGAAAAUACUGCCACCAGACUCCAAAUCCUCCAGAAAAAUAAAACACUGGUUGUCAGAAAUAACAUAUAGGAUUCCUCAACAUGAAGAAUCUGAAAUCUUCAACUGAUCAUGGAUCCUGCAGGAAUAAUCAUGUCAUUUCAGAAGAAAAUAAAACAGACAUGCUUUGUCAAAUAUAAGGCAUUUCACACACUAUCAAUUUUAUGGAUAUAAAUACCUAAGGGCAUGCACAAACUCUGUGAUCAUCAAUGGGAAAUUGCCAAGUUGGACAGAUUCAUUAAACAUGAAAAUUGUCAGACACCCAAACCCGUAAGUUAAAAUUUUAAGCCUUGAACAUUAUGAUACUGCAUAUAAUGUAAAUACAUUUGGAGACAUUUUAAUGCAGCCUAGUUAGAAUUGAACAGAAAUCGCUACUAAUGUUCACGGUUCCUCAUCAGCUUAGUUUGCUUUGAUAAAAACAGUCUUAAAGGAGUUGUUUGCCUUUCUACAUCUUGUUGCACCUGAAAGAAGCUUGUGAUAAACUGGGUCUAGAACAUUUUU